AAGAACUCGGAGGGUUUGGGGGCUUGGGCGCCCCACGUUCCACAACGAGGUCUUUCAUCAAACAGAGCAGGCGUACGUAACUCCAUAUCCUACUUGAAAUUGCACGCCACUGCCACUUCGUCCAAAAUCGCAGCCCCGGUCUGCGCCGGCACGCAUUCGGGAACGAACUGCACGGUGGCUUCGCCGUCUGUCGAAGACAAGGUGCGCCUCCCAACUGCGACUGCUUGCUUGAACCUGGAUCGGGAUCCUCGAGGUACCUGAGUUUGCGAUGCCUCGAUGGGCUUUCUCUCCGGGCUGUGCGCGUGCUUGGAGAGGCGAGUGAAAGGCCGUAGAGGAUUUGGGCUGGUUUACAAGCGCCUGCUCUUUCAGAGAUAGAGAAAGAGAGAAGGAGAGAGAGAGAGAGAGAGAGAGAGCAGAGAGAGACUGCACAGCGACGAGUUGGAGUUCUCGCCUUCUCGGUGCGAGGUAAACUGAUUUUGCAGAAUAUAUGAUGGAAGCUGAAUCUCAUGAUGAUUUUCCUCCCGGGCCAUGUGUUAAAGCCACCCUUCGCCUAGGGUUAGAAGUGCAUACUAUCAAUGCAGAUGGGGCUACCCUUUCUGAGCAGCUGGUUUCAAUGAAAGAGGAGAGCAUGAACAUACUUAAGGAGUUCAUCACCAGACAUAAUGUUCCGAAUGACGUCCCUGAUGAAUUAGUUGAGAGCAAUUCGGAUGAAGAUGAUGGAGAAAUGACUGAGAAGCUUCAAGUGAAAUCAAAGAAAAGAAAAUAACUUUGUUUCCUCUCUCCUUACGCACGCAAAUUUGAAACACGAGUAGUAGCCCUGAUGUUUGGAAUUAUGAACUAAAUAUCAAGGCAUUAACUAUUUGCUCAUUUUGCGCAGAAUGUUAGGCAACAAAUUCUUUGUAUUUGACUCUUUCAUGUUCUUGUGGCAGUCAUUUAGGCUGUUUGGCAUGUUCCAGGAAUUUGCUGCUGGAAAUUCUUCCCAUUAAAUAUCUGCUUCUUUGUUUAA